GUGGGGAAUUUUGGACAAUGGGGGCAACCCUGAUCCAGCCAUGCCGCGUGAGUGAAGAAGGCCUUCGGGUUGUAAAGCUCUUUCGGCCGGGAAGAAAUCGCCUAGGUUAAUACCCUGUGCGGAUGACGGUACCGGCAUAAGAAGCACCGGCUAACUACGUGCCAGCAGCCGCGGUAAUACGUAGGGUGCGAGCGUUAAUCGGAAUUACUGGGCGUAAAGCGUGCGCAGGCGGUUUUGUAAGACAGGCGUGAAAUCCCCGGGCUCAACCUGGGAACUGCGCUUGUGACUGCAAGGCUAGAGUACGGCAGAGGGGGGUGGAAUUCCACGUGUAGCAGUGAAAUGCGUAGAGAUGUGGAGGAACACCAAUGGCGAAGGCAGCCCCCUGGGUCGAUACUGACGCUCAUGCACGAAAGCGUGGGUAGCAA
rnacentral:rRNA from 1 species